rnacentral:rRNA from 1 species
UACAGAGGGGGCAAGCGUUGUUCGGAAUUACUGGGCGUAAAGGGCGCGUAGGCGGCCUUCUAAGUCGAACGUGAAAUCCCUGGGCUCGACCCAGGAACUGCGUCCGAUACUGAAAGGCUUGAAUCCGGGAGAGGGAUGCGGAAUUCCAGGUGUAGCGGUGAAAUGCGUAGAUAUCUGGAGGAACACCGGUGGCGAAGGCGGCAUCCUGGACCGGUAUUGACGCUGAGGCGCGAAAGCGUGGGGAGCAAACAGG